UUCAAACUUAUAUUAAAAGAUUUAAAUCAUACUUCGACAUUUCAAAAAAUUACAUGUAAAAAGUGUUAUUUAAAAAAAAAAAUGUCAUUUUCAACCAGCAUAAAUCACGCUCCUAGUGUCAAUCCAAUAAAAAAUAUCACAUUGAUGCACAGCAUUUCACAAAAAUUGGAAGGAAGCAUUGCAGAAAAAUCAUCUAAUACAUCGGGUCUAAUCAUCUAAACUCAUCUAAUUCUUCUUUCAUGUCACGAAUGAUGAUAAUACAAAGGUGAUAGAAGAUGACCGUAUGGAAAUGUGAAGAAGUUUCGAAUUAACGAUGAAGAAUAGAAGAAAAAGAAAACUGAGGAAAAAAGAAAUAAAAAUAUCAAAAGAGCAUACAAAGUUUAAAACACAAUUUGCCACGAAAAACCAUCGAUUUCAGAAAUUGCGUCCACAUGAACGAGCUAUCAUCAUUCUGCGAUGACGAUGUAAAACGAAUUUUUCCGAUGAACGAGCUCUCGCCAUAUUCCGUGCAUACGCAACAACUAGACUUGCUAGACACUACACACACCGCGAUACUUGAUUGUAUAUUGCGCAACAUGGCUUCAAGGUUGUAAGCCACGAAGUGGUUUCACGUUUGACGAUUAAACUGUGCUUGAAGAGAAGGAAGAACAGAAGAAACUAAGUAUUGUAAAACGAUUGAAAAACGUGUUGAUUUUAGGCGCAUGACAAAAUUUACCUCAAAGAUUUUCCACGUACAUAAAAUAUGGAGCAUUGUCGUUAAUAUCCGAUUACAUGGACGAAGCAGAAACUCUUACUAAUUUCAACGUCUGUAUUUUGUUCUACCAACGAGAGAGUAACACAUGUAAAAUGUUUUAUAGCAUAUUUUUUCAACGAAUGAAUGUGUGUGUGUGGAAAAAUUAAGGGAAAAAAAGAAAAAAAGAAAAAAGAAAACUACAAUGAUUAUGUAUCUUUCACUUCUCGAGGCACCUGUCGCUGAAGUAAUAAAUCUAGUUACUUGUGAAAGCAAUUAUGCUAGGUAACAUUUCUGGAUACGUCAACUUCAACGUCACCGUCAUCGUCAUCGUCGUGUUUUCCUAGACUUAGUUUGUCAUUGUUCACGAGGAUACUGUACGUUAUGUCGCGUCAAUCACGUUAAUAACAAAGAAGACAGACGAACGAAAUAAUAAACGCAAAAGGAAAAUGUGAUUGCGAAAAAAAUUAGGGCCAGAUAUUUUUUAUGAAAAAUCUUUGGAUAAUAAAAUAAGAAAAAGCUGGCAUAUAAAUUUUGUCAAAAAUUAUUUUGCUCGAAAGCAAUAUAUACGUUCAUAAAGAAA